CAAAUCUAAGAGAGUGGAGACUGAAGGGUGAUUGAAUGUAUGGUUUUUAACCAUUAAUCCCCAGGAUUAAUGACAUCCCUCAAGAUGAGAUUGCAAGAGAGAUAAUCAAGCGUCAUAAUUUAAAGAGAUUGGGUGAUCAAUGGAGGAAUUGGAAGCAUGCUUUGAAAGCAAAGCACUUUGAUAAGUCAAAAACUGCAACACAAAUAGUGGUUGAGGCUCCAAAUAUAGUAAAUCGCCAAGAUUAUGCUAAGCUUGUUGACUCUUGGUUUAGAGGAAACUAAGACAAUACAUUGGAAUAUAAAGGGAGACCAAGUUUCAUGCUGGAGUGACUUUUGGCAUACUUCAAAGGGAAUAUUUAUAGUCUUAGUUUUUAUUGUAGGUUGUCUACAAUUAU